AGUGGGCAGAGCGAUUCGCUGAU
rnacentral:miRNA from 1 species